GGUUGCGUGGCCCAGUGGUUAAGGCAUCUGCUUUACAAGCGCUUGAGAUCCAAGCAACUGCAUCGCAGAGGAUCGCAGGUUCGAUCCCUGCCGCGAUCA